AUACCUAGCUACUGUUUUUUUUAGCGUGUUUACUUUCGUGGCCAACCAAAAUAGGUGACAAAAAAUCGGAAAAAAAUUGACGUCGCUUGGCAGUUUCUUAAUAAAUUAAUGAUAAAAACCUGCUCAUUCAGUUCCAAAGUGCCCGCGGCCUGAUCUGUUUGAAUAGAAGCGCUGCCGUGGAUGCAACUUCGACGCGAGUGAGAAAACCUCCGCUCGGCCACCGGGAAAAUCGUUGCUGCUUCAGUCAACCAGAAACAACCGGAAUUGUAAACGAUGACCGAAAACGGACCAGUCGAACCUGCGGCCACUACCAGAGAUGUGAAAAACAUCAAAACGCGAUUGAGGAUCGUAAAAGAGACUUGCAGCAGCAAGAUUGAUGCGAGAGAAGCUAAAAUACCGUGAAGAGCCGAAACAAGCAUUUAGUGAAUGUAUUUUAAUUAUUAAGUUCAAGAACAUAUUAGUGUAUAAGAAAGUGUUCAAAGUUUUUAGUUUUUUAGUUUGAAGAAAAAAAAUUAAAAAAUAAAAGGAACAAGUUAUCAAA